GCCUAUUUGUUUUACUGGAAAGCAGAUGUGAACAUGACAGUGGCUGAUUAGGAACACAAAAACAAAAAUGGUGGUCAUUCCUACGUUUAUCUGACUCUGGUCCAUGACAUGCUGACAACUGUAGACUUUCACAAAAGCACAUUGCCUAAACAUAAACUGUACUGUAACAAUUUGAAAUCCUCAUGGUCCCAUUGGCUCCUGUUUUCCAGGUUAUCAUGGUGUGUGAUGUUCAUCUCCAGAUCUGUGGACUGAUGAAUUCUCCAAACUUUUAAGUACCACUCCCUUCAUGUGCUUCCCUGCUCCUCUUGAUUCCCACAAGUCUAACUACAAAACCAAACUUCCCACCUUCAGCACACUAGCCACAGUCGGGCUAGGGUUCUUCCACUAUGCUCACAUUAUUUCCUGCACAGUAUGGAGUGAGGUCACUCCUCAGGUUGUUCCUCCGUAUUCUGGUAUGCGGCGACAGAGAUGGCGCUGUAGGGGUUCAGGACCAUCUGGGCACAGCGCACUAUGGUGAACAGCAGGAAGGAACACAGUAGGAAGACAAAGAAGAGGGCAAAGCCCAGGUCCACAUCCACCUCCAUCCUCGCCACCGGCAGGAGUGGAGGGUCCAGGACUUCUCGUAUCCAAAUGAGACUGAUGCAGACUGACAAAGUAGUCCUACUCAAUGGCCCCUACUUUAUUCCCCAAUGUCCCUACCACCCUACCCAAUCCACUCUACUUGUAGGCCAGAUAUUCUACGGGCUUCAGCAUGCAGAGGACACGUGUACUCACACCUGUGUCAGGUAAUGGUAUAUGGUAUAUAAUGGUAUAUCUAUAGGAAGGUGAAGGUGCAUUACAGUGUUUAAACACCUCACCUCACCUCAAAACACCAACACACAACACAGUUACAAUGUCUCCUCUCCAUACUGUAUAUACAUAUACAUCCCUUUGGAUGAACACACAGGCACAGAGGUCUAAUGUGUUUGUUUACCCACAGAUUGACAGUUGUUUGCUUUGUUUCUCCCUUCCACCCAAGUCUACGUUACCACCACAGGGUAGGCAUCAUGCCACGGACUGAGUCCUGCUGGCUGUUCUAAUCUCAGUUACGGCCUGAUAGUCACCAAACCCCUCUUUAACUAUUCAUGGGACACAGGUGCCAAGUGUGACUGAGUACAUCCAUCUGUUUGUCCAUCCCCAGGGGGGUUGGGAGUGGCGUCCAGGAGAGGUGAAGAGAGGGAGGAAAGUGAGAGAGAGACAGAGAAAAUUAAGGAGUAGGGAAAUAAUUCUCAUGUCAUAUUCAUGUUCAGACCACUAAUGAUGUCACACAGAAGAGUGUAAGAUGUAAGGAACAUCCAGGUACAAUCCCACCAGAGUGAUACUACUGACCAACCUGAGAAGGAAGGAGUAAUCCUAUCUGCCCGACUCCAACACCUCCAGCAUUCCAUCCCAUUUCACCCCCAGGAUGUGAACGAGAGGAGGAGGGACAAGGGGAGAGGAAACUGAUCCUUGGUCAUAGAUCUCUGUGUUUCUCUGACCACUGAUAAAGUAGGAAGGGAUGGAAAUAACCCAAUCAGGGCAGAGUUGGAUUUUGUUUCUUUGCCAAUUAAGUAACACAGACCACAUGUAAUGUAAAGAAGUGAAUCAAUGGAUGACAGAUGGAUUGAUAUCACUUAAUGAAGUUGCAGCAAGUUUAGAGCCUCUGCUGCAUAAUUGGUUAAAGUAUAUUAUAAUGGUGCGUAUUUGUUUAUGUGUGUGUGUACAUAGGGAAGUAGAAACUAGUGCAUCUUGGGUCUAUCAGCUCUCUUCCUCUACCUGGUGUUUAUCAUGUUUUAAUUUGAACCUUUAUUUAACUAGGCAAGUCAGUUAAGAACACAUUCUUAUUUACAAUGACAGCCUACCAGGGGAACAGUGAGUUUA
rnacentral:lncRNA from 13 species